ensembl:rRNA 5S_rRNA 5S ribosomal RNA
UCUUACAACAUGAUAUUACCCAAUUUUUAAAAAAUAUUUCUCCUGAUCCUAUCAGAUCUCAGAAGGUAAGCAGGGUCAGGCCUGGUUAGUACUUAGGUGGGAGACCACAUAGGAAGACCAGGUGCUGUAAGUG